AUUGCACGCUGGCGGCAGGCCUAACCCAUGCAAGUCGAACGAGUGGCGGACGGGUGAGUAAUGUCUGGGAAACUUCCCGAUUGAGGGGGAUAACUACUGGAAACGGUAGCUCAUACCGCAUACCAUCGGAUGUGCCCAGAUGGGAUUAUCUAGGAGGUGGGGUAAAGGCUCACCUAGGCGACGAUCCCUAGCUGGUCUGAGAGGAUGACCAGCCACUCUGGAACUGAGACACGGUACAGACUGCUACGGGAGGCAGCAGUGGGGAAUAUUGCACAAUGGGCGCAAGUCUGAUGCAGCCAUGCCGCGUGUAUGAAGAAGGCCUUCGGGUUGUAAAGUACUUUCAGCGAGGAAGCGUUACUCGCAGAAGAAGCAUCGGCUAACUCCGUGCCAGCAGCCGCGGUAUAC
rnacentral:rRNA from 1 species